UUUCCCAGCAUAAGGCUACACUGUAUUGGACAGCCCCUUUUGCAGUUAGGGUCACAGGUCCCAGGGCGUAUCUGAAAACCACAUACUGUGAAGAUGGCAGACCUUCCAAAAGUCUAGGUCCUGAACAGUUCUAUGAAGCAGUGCUCCCACCCUAUCCCAACAGGAAACACCUGCCUGGGACUCUUAUGAAAGAAAAAAGAACUGCCACUGCCAGGGUGAAGAUGCCUUGCUGAUAUGAUGCUCACAGGAAACACAGCAGUCAGGAAACCCACCAGAAACCAGCAAAGAAUAGGAAAAAAGGCAGCAAGAUUUCUCCAACAGUUGUCAGCUGGCAUAGAGAGAUUGUGAUCACAUGCAAGAAGUCUAUGAACACUCAGAAAUCAGAGAGUUUUGUGCUGGACAAACAAUUACAUGCAGGGGAUGAGAG